AAAAGCCCAAGUGAAUUUGUACAUUGCAAUAUGGAUAAUGCAAAAACUGAGUGGCAAUGAGUUAACGCCACCUUGGACCAAUGAAUCAACCAGGAAAAAUGGACAUUAAUGAGUUGAACUAAUCAAAAGGGAGCGUGUAACACAUGUAAAAUGAAACUCGGCGCCAACACAAACUGAUCACGCUUACUCUCUCUUCUCUCAGUCAGCUUUCCCAUUCGUCGUGAUGGAGACUCUCUUCGAUGGUGGAGACAUUCUUAAAUUCAAAUCCAAAACCACACUUAACCUAAUUCUAUGUGUUGAGUCUGAAUAUCCCCAUGGCAUUUCCUAAUUCUACCUGAUACACGCCAAUCCAACAGAGAGAUGGAAUAAUCCUAUCUUUGAGAAGUUAAAUUAAAUGGUGUGGCUUCUCAGAUUCACGCUCAAACAUUGGGGCUAUUGACCCCAGGAACAAACUCUACAAAGUGGUAACUAAAUCAUGGCAGGCAGAAGGGAAAGAAGAUUUACCUCCGAAAUGAAGAACUUUUCCAGCGAAGGUUGAAACGAAGAAGACAGAGGCGCAGCGGAAAAUCACUUGAAAAUAGGAUUGUUACAGGGUUAAUUGAAUGCAUAAUGCCGCACCUCGAAAAAUGAGAACACGACUUAGCAAAGCGCAAUUGCACGCUCGUAUGAUGGACUAAACAGAGUCGUCACCGAACUUUAUUUAUUCCUAAAAAGGAAAGGGGAAACAUCGAUAAAACCCAAGAAACAAAGACAACGAUUAUGGUCGUCGCAACCAAAUCAGGGUUCGGAAGUAGAUUACGCAAGGGGAAGGUAUUAACACCCCUCACGUCCGUUGUACUCAACAGGAACCAUUAGGUUAAUUGUGCGUGUUAGUGUUAACUUAGAAAUGUUAGGCUUCUUGAGUUAUUAGGUGGGAAAGAAAGAAUAGAAGAGAGAAGAAUGUUUUUGGAUUUUGCAACGAAGGGGGCUAAACCUAAGUUUUUUAUUAAUGGGCCUAACAAGAUUUAUAAAUCCUACUCCUACGUAUCUCCGGGUGCAAUAGAGAACUCAGGACUUACAUAGUCCUGGGUAGAAAAAUGUUUGUUUGUUGAUCGAUUUUAUCAAAAACUAUCAUGUAUUAAUCGACGAGAAACAUUGUUUUACCCAAAACAGAUGAGGAGCGGACGUAUACCACACAUCAAAUGGAUUUACAAAUCAACAUUCGGAAAAACGUCAUUUAUCUUAACUCAACAAUUAUGGACGAAGCAUUGCUUUGCAUCAUCUUAAAACAACAUAUUUCGUUUAUGAAAAGGUUUUCCUGAUCAAUCGCACGACGACGAAAAAGAGUUUGAUUGGUUGAAUGUAUUUUUGGGUUUGAAAGACGAGUAUUUAUGACUUGCAAGCUCUUGCAACUUGGGU